GACGAACGCUGGCGGCGUGCUUAACACAUGCAAGUCGAACGGAAAGGCCCUGCUUGCCGGGUACUCGAGUGGCGAACGGGUGAGUAACACGUGGGUGAUCUGCCCUGCACUUCGGGAUAAGCCUGGGAAACUGGGUCUAAUACCGGAUAGGAGCCAUUUUUAGUGUGAUGGCUGGAAAGUUUUUUCGGUGUAGGAUGAGCUCGCGGCCUAUCAUCUUGUUGGUGGGGUAAUGGCCUACCAAGGCGGCGACGGGUAGCCGGCCUGGGGGGGUGGACGGCCACAUUGGGACUGAGGGACGGCCCAGACGCCUACGGGAGGCAGCAGUGGGGAAUAUUGCACAAUGGGCGCAAGCCUGAUGCAGCGACGCCGCGUGGGGGAUGACGGCCUUCGGGUUGGAAACUCCUUUCGCUAGGGACGAAGCUUUUUGUGACGGUACCUAGAUAAGAAGCACCGGCUAACUACGUG
rnacentral:rRNA from 1 species